AAAUUGAAGAGUUUGAUCAUGGCUCAGAUUGAACGCUGGCGGCAGGCCUAACACAUGCAAGUCGAGCGGUAGCACAGAGAGCUUGCUCUCGGGUGACGAGCGGCGGACGGGUGAGUAAUGUCUGGGAAACUGCCUGAUGGAGGGGGAUAACUACUGGAAACGGUAGCUAAUACCGCAUAACGUCGCAAGACCAAAGUGGGGGACCUUCGGGCCUCAUGCCAUCAGAUGUGCCCAGAUGGGAUUAGCUAGUAGGUGGGGUAAUGGCUCACCUAGGCGACGAUCCCUAGCUGGUCUGAGAGGAUGACCAGCCACACUGGAACUGAGACACGGUCCAGACUCCUACGGGAGGCAGCAGUGGGGAAUAUUGCACAAUGGGCGCAAGCCUGAUGCAGCCAUGCCGCGUGUGUGAAGAAGGCCUUCGGGUUGUAAAGCACUUUCAGCGGGGAGGAAGGCGAUAAGGUUAAUAACCUUGUCGAUUGACGUUACCCGCAGAAGAAGCACCGGCUAACUCCGUGCCAGCAGCCGCGGUAAUACGGAGGGUGCAAGCGUUAAUCGGAAUUACUGGGCGUAAAGCGCACGCAGGCGGUCUGUCAAGUCGGAUGUGAAAUCCCCGGGCU
rnacentral:rRNA from 1 species